AGCGAACGCUGGCGGCAGGCCUAACACAUGCAAGUCGAACGAACCCUUCGGGGUUAGUGGCGGACGGGUGAGUAACACGUGGGAACGUGCCUUUAGGUUCGGAAUAACUCAGGGAAACUUGUGCUAAUACCGAAUGUGCCCUUCGGGGGAAAGAUUUACCGCCUUUAGAGCGGCCCGCGUCUGAUUAGCUAGUUGGUGAGGUAAAGGCUCACCAAGGCGACGAUCAGUAGCUGGUCUGAGAGGAUGAUCAGCCACAUUGGGACUGAGACACGGCCCAAACUCCUACGGGAGGCAGCAGUGGGGAAUCUUGCGCAAUGGGCGAAAGCCUGACGCAGCCAUGCCGCGUGAAUGAUGAAGGUCUUAGGAUCGUAAAAUUCUUUCACCGGGGACGAUAAUGACGGUACCCGGAGAAGAAGCCCCGGCUAACUUCGUGCCAGCCGCCGCAGUAACAC
rnacentral:rRNA from 1 species